UAACACGUGAGUAACCUGCCUUUAACUGGGGGAUAACACAGGGAAACUUGUGCUAAUACCGCAUAACAUCCUUGGAUGGCAUCAUCCGAGGAUCAAAGGAGUAAUCCGGUUGAAGAUGGACUCGCGUCCGAUUAGCUAGUUGGUGGGGUAAAGGCCUACCAAGGCGACGAUCGGUAGCCGGACUGAGAGGUUGAUCGGCCACAUUGGGACUGAGACACGGCCCAGACUCC
rnacentral:rRNA from 1 species